UACGUAGGGCGCAAGCGUUAUCCGGAAUUAUUGGGCGUAAAGAGCUCGUAGGCGGUUUGUCGCGUCUGCUGUGAAAGCCCGGGGCUCAACCCCGGGUCUGCAGUGGGUACGGGCAGACUAGAGUGCAGUAGGGGAGACUGGAAUUCCUGGUGUAGCGGUGAAAUGCGCAGAUAUCAGGAGGAACACCGAUAGCGAAGGCAGCUUACUAGACUGUAACUGACGCUGAGGCACGAAAGUGUGGGGAUCAAACAGG
rnacentral:rRNA from 1 species